UCAGAACAUAGAAUAACACACUAAACUCAUUAGACAUACAUUGUGUUAUGGCGUGAUAACAAAAAGCAGUUAAAUGUUUGUUGAAGUAUUAGUUGCAAUAAGUGCAACGUUUUCAUUACAGCACAUUUAGUCUCCACCAACCUCUUAUUUCUCCCCUUAAAAACCACUCAAACACGAUGUACUGACCACUGUGGGAGUGACCACCAUCUGACUGUCGGACUAAUGAAGAGGGCAACAACAGCACACUGACAGAUCAACAUGCCUCUGAGAAACUCUCGGACGAGCUGAGAGAGAUGGAGAAAACAUUGUCCCUUCUCCUUAACAACGGGAAGGCAGAGGAGAAGGUUCAGCAGCCGACAGCUUGUGGGGGAUGAUCGCAGUUCCUGGGCGUCACAAAAUCACAAAAACAAAGGGCUGGCCAUAAAAAUUGUCCGUCCCUGUUCCAAUAAAAGGAAGGGUGGUGAUUACACCUUGACA
ensembl:lncRNA